CCUACGGGGGGCAGCAGUGGGGAAUAUUGGGCAAUGGGCGCAAGCCUGACCCAGCAACGCCGCGUGAAGGAAGACGGCUUUCGGGUUGUAAACUUCUUUUGUCAGGGAAGAGUAGAAGACGGUACCUGACGAAUAAGCCACGGCUAACUACGUGCCAGCAGCCGCGGUAAUACGUAGGUGGCAGGCGUUGUCCGGAUUUACUGGGUGUAAAGGGCGUGUAGCCGGGUUGACAAGUCAGAUGUGAAAUCCUGCGGCUUAACCGCAGAACUGCAAUUGAAACUGGUGAUCUUGAGUACUGGAGAGGCAGAUGGAAUUCGUAGUGGAGCGGUGAAAUGCGUAGAUAUUAGGAGGAACACCAGUGGCGAAGGCGGUCUGCUGGACAGCAACUGACGGUGAGGCGCGAAAGCGUGGGGAGCAAACAGGAUUAGAUACCCCUGUAGUC
rnacentral:rRNA from 1 species